rnacentral:rRNA from 1 species
CCUACGGGAGGCAGCAGUGGGGGAUAUUGCACAAUGGGGGAAACCCUGAUGCAGCGACGCCGCGUGGGCGAAGAAGUAUUUCGGUAUGUAAAGCCCUAUCAGCAGGGAAGAAGAAAUGACGGUACCUGAGUAAGAAGCACCGGCUAAAUACGUGCCAGCAGCCGCGGUAAUACGUAUGGUGCAAGCGUUAUCCGGAUGUACUGGGUGGAAAGGGAGCGCAGGCGGCACGGCAAGCCUGAUGUGAAAGCCCGCGGCCCAACCGCGGGACUGCAUUGGGAACUACCGGGCUGGAGUGCCGGAGAGGGAGGCGGAAUUCCUAGUGUAGCGGUGAAAUGCGUAGAUAUUAGGAGGAACACCAGUGGCGAAGGCGGCCUACUGGACGGUGACUGACGCUGAGGCUCGAAAGCGUGGGGAGCAAACAGGAUUAGAUACCCUGGUAGUC